rnacentral:lncRNA from 1 species
CUGUAGCAGCUGUUUCUCUCUUUACAGUAAAGACAAGAGAGCAGACAAAGCAGUCUUUGCAGAAAGGACCAAAACAUUUUAUCAGAUCUUGAAUGUCCCUCAAAGGCUGAUAAGUUAAAGGCUUGGACACCUGCCUGUGCGCGAGAGAGGUGGUGGAAACUUCAGAACUGGCACUCAGUGGGAGAGAGGGAAAAGACAGAGGAAAGGGGAAAGGGACAAGGAGGAAGAGAAGAAAAGGAGGAGGAAGAGAAGAAAAGGAGGAGAAAGAGCAGGAGGGAAAGAAGGCCCUGCCCCAUCGCUAAUGGAUGGUCCUAAGAGCCACACACACGACACCAUGAAGUCCUCACUGGCCACUGGAUGAAGGAAGACUGGCAG